AACGCUGGCGGCGUGCUUAACACAUGCAAGUCGAACGGAGAAUUUAUUUCGGUAAAUUCUUAGUGGCGAACGGGUGAGUAACGCGUGGGCAACCUGCCCUUCAGAUGGGGACAACAUCCCGAAAGGGGUGCUAAUACCGAAUACGAUCACGCUGCCGCAUGGCGGAGUGAUGAAAGAUGGCCUCUAUUUAUAAGCUAUCGCUGAAGGAUGGGCCUGCGUCUGAUUAGCUAGUUGGUGGGGUAACGGCCUACCAAGGCGAUGAUCAGUAGCCGGUCUGAGAGGAUGAACGGCCACAUUGGGACUGAGACACGGCCCAAACUCCUACGGGAGGCAGCAGUGGGGAAUAUUCCGCAAUGGACGAAAGUCUGACGGAGCAACGCCGCGUGAGUGAUGAAGGUUUUCGGACUGUAAAGCUCUGUUGUUUAGGACGAAAGUGCCUGUUGCAAAUAGUUGCAGGUAUUGACGGUACUGAACGAGGAAGCCACGGCUAACUACGUGCCAGCAGCCGCGGUAAUACUUAGGUGGCAAGCGUUGUCCGGAAUUAUUGGGCGUAAAGAGCAUGUAGGCGG
rnacentral:rRNA from 1 species